rnacentral:rRNA from 1 species
GUGGGGAAUAUUGGUCAAUGGCCGGAAGGCUGAACCAGCCAUGCCGCGUGCAGGAAUAAGGCCCUAUGGGUCGUAAACUGCUUUUGUGGUGGAGCAAUAAGACGUACGUGUACGUCGAUGAGAGUACAUCACGAAUAAGCAUCGGCUAACUCCGUGCCAGCAGCCGCGGUAAUACGGAGGAUGCAAGCGUUAUCCGGAUUUAUUGGGUUUAAAGGGUGCGUAGGCUGUUCGUCAAGUCAGAGGUGAAAUACCACAGCUUAACUGUGGAACUGCCUUUGAUACUGGCGAGCUGGAAUACGGAUGCCGUGGGAGGAAUGAGUAGUGUAGCGGUGAAAUGCAUAGAUAUUACUCAGAACACCGAUUGCGAAGGCAUCUCACGAAUCCGUCAUUGACGCUGAGGCACGAAAGCGUGGGGAUCAAACAGG